GUUCUCAGUUCGGACUGCAGUCUGCAACUCGACUACACGAAGCUGGAAUCGCUAGUAAUCGCGAAUCAGAAUGUCGCGGCGAAUACGUUCCCGGGUCUUGUACACACCGCCCGUCACACCAUGGGAGUCGGGAAUGCCCGAAGCCGGUGACCUAACCGAAAGGAAGGAGCCGUCGAAGGCAGGUCUGAUAACUGGGGUGAAGUCGUAACAAGGUAAC
rnacentral:rRNA from 1 species